rnacentral:rRNA from 1 species
GACGAACGCUGGCGGCGUGCUUAACACAUGCAAGUCGAACGGAAAGGCCUGCUAUCCCUUGUGGAUUGCGGGUACUCGAGUGGCGAACGGGUGCGUAACACGUGAGUGUUCUGCCCUCAACUUGGUUCUAAGCCUGGGAACCUGGGUCUAAUUCCCGUUAGGACUGCAGGGUGGUGCCUUUGGUGGCAAACGAUCUUCUAGUGGUUGGUGAUGAGCUGCCGGCCUAUCAGCUUGUUGGUGGGGUAAUGGCCGACCAAGGCGGAGACGGGUAGCCGGCGUGAGAGGGUGGACGGCGACAUUGAGACAGGGUUACGGCCCAGACGCCAGGGGGAGGCAGCAGUGGGGAAGAUAGCACAAUGGGCGGAAGCCUGAUGCAGCGACGCCGCGUGGGGGAUGACGGCCUUCGGGUUGUAAACUCCUUUCGACCGCGAGGAAGCCACCUGGUUGGAAGGGUGGUGACGGUAGUGGUAGAAGAAGCACCGGCUAACUACGUG